UACAGAGGGUGCAAGCGUUAAUCGGAGUUACUGGGCGUAAAGGGCGCGUAGGCGGUUUGAUAAGUAAGAUUUGAAAUCCCCGGGCUUAACCUGGGAACUGGAUCUUAAACUAUUAGACUAGAGUGCAGUAGAGGGUGGCGGAAUUUCCGGUGUAGCGGUGAAAUGCGUAGAGAUCGGAAGGAACAUCAGUGGCGAAGGCGACCACCUGGACUGAAACUGACGCUGAGGCGCGAAAGCGUGGGGAGCAAACAGG
rnacentral:rRNA from 1 species